AAAGAAUUAGUUAAAAAUAUAACCUAAAUAUGUCAAAUUUAAAUUAUUAUAAAAUAAUAUUCUUUU
rnacentral:tRNA from 1 species